rnacentral:tRNA from 1 species
GCGGAAGUAGCUCAGUUGGCUAGAGCAUCUCCUUGCCAAGGAGAAGGUCGCGGGUUCGAGUCCCGUCUUCCGCU